GUGAAUCAUCGAAUCUUUGAACGCAUAUUGCACUUUCUGGUAUUCCGGAAAGUAUGCCUGUUUGAGGGUCAGUUAAAUAAAAAUCGGUGUUGCUGCUGCUAUUAGUGGUGAUGCAUCGGAAUUGAGUUGUUCUUUGCCCUUGGCAUAAGUGACUUAAAAAUUUUGUACGAUUUUUGAACGUAUUUAAAAUUAAUGUACGUUCAUAAUAAUAUCAUAUAUUAGAUGCGGUCAUUUUUAUGACUUCGUGUCUAUAAUUUUUCAUUAUUGACCUCAAAUCAGGUAAGAAUACCCGCUGAACUUA
rnacentral:misc_RNA from 1 species